rnacentral:ncRNA from 1 species
CCUCGGGGGGCCUAACAAGGCUGAGAUGCGUAAUGCGGACCCGUAGAACCUGAACCGGUUAAGACCGGCGGAGGGAAGGUU